rnacentral:tRNA from 1 species
GCCGAGAUAGCCAAGCGGAUUACGGCGCAGGCCUUGAGAGUCUGUGACUCAUUGAAUGCUUUCAAUGAAAGUCAUGUGGACAGUCGCGAGGGUUCGAAUCCCUCUCUCGGCG